rnacentral:rRNA from 1 species
UGUGCAGCAAUAAAGAGAGCUUGCUUUUCUUGAUGGCGAGUGGCGAACGGGUGAGUAAAGUAUCGGAACGUGCCCAGUAGCGGGGGAUAACUACGCGAAAGCGUAGCUAAUACCGCAUACGCCCUGAGGGGGAAAGAGGGGGAUCAGAGAUGACCUUUUACUAUUGGAGCGGCCGAUAUCGGAUUAGCUAGUUGGUGGGGUAAAGGCCUACCAAGGCGACGAUCCGUAGCUGGUUUGAGAGGACGACCAGCCACACUGGGACUGAGACACGGCCCAGACUCCUACGGGAGGCAGCAGUGGGGAAUUUUGGACAAUGGGGGCAACCCUGAUCCAGCCAUUCCGCGUGUGCGAUUGAAGGCCUUCGGGUUGUAAAGCACUUUUGUCAGGGAAGAAAAGGUUUGUGUUAAUACCAUGGACUGCUGACGGUACCUGAAGAAUAAGCACCGGCAAACUACGUGCCAGCAGCCGCGGUAAUACGUAGGGUGCGAGCGUUAAUCGGAAUUACUGGGCGUAAAGCGUGCGCAGGCGGUUCGGAAAGAGAGAUGGAAAGCUGAUGUCCCUUAUUGGG